GCAAGAUUAAAACUCAAAGGAAUAGACGGGGACCCGCACAAGCGGUGGAGCAUGUGGUUUAAUUCGACGAUACGCGAAGAACCUUACCUGGCCUUGGCAUAGUGAGAACCUAAUAGAGAUAUAAGGGUGCUAGUUUACUAGAGCUUACAUACAGGUGCUGCACGGCUGUCGUCAGCUCGUGUCGUGAGAUGUUGGGUUAAGUCCCGCAACGAGCGCAACCCUCGUGUUUAGUUACUAACAGUUCGGCUGAGGACUCUAGACAGACUGCCUGGGUAACCAGGAGGAAGGUGAGGACGACGUCAAGUCAUCAUGGCCCUUACGGCCAGGGCUACACACGUGCUACAAUGGGGUAUACAAAGAGCCGCAAUACCGUGAGGUGGAGCAAAUCUCAUAAAAUAUCUCCCAGUUCGGAUAGCAGUCUGCAACUCGACUGCUUGAAGUUAGAAUCGCUAGUAAUCGUAGAUCAGCAAUGCUACGGUGAAUACGUUCCCGGGUCUUGUACUCACCGCCCGUCACACCAUGGGAAUUGAAUUCAUUCGAAGCGGGGAUGCUAAAAUAGCUACCUUCCACAGUGGAUUUAGUAACUAGGGUGAAGUCGUAACAAGGUA
rnacentral:rRNA from 1 species